rnacentral:rRNA from 1 species
UUCCUUCUAGAAAAGAAGGUAAGGCCUGCUCACUGAAUAAUUAAAGAGCCGCAGUAUUUUGACUGUGCUAAGGUAGCAUAAUCAUUAGUCUUUUAAUUGGGGACUGGUAUGAAUGGCUAAACGAGAAAUCAGCUUUUUUUAUUAUAUAAAUUUAAUUUAUUUUUUUAGUGAAAAAACUAAAAUUUUUCAAAAAGACGAGAAGACCCUAUAGAGUUUUAUGUGGUAAUAAAUUAAAUUAUACUAGAUUUCUACUAAUAGAAUUUUGAUUCACAAUUUGUUGGGGCGACAUUAAGAAAUGACAAACUCUUUUUUUUAAAUACUUUCAUAAAAGUAAUAUUUGAUCCUUUAAAAAAGAUCAUAAGAAAAAAUUACCUUAGGGAUAACAGCGUAAUCUUUUUUGAGAGUUCUAAUCGACAAAAAGGUUUGCGACCUCGAUGUUGGACUAAAAUUUAGGCAUGGUGCAGUAGCUUUGCUUUAGGGUCUGUUCGACCCGUAAUAUUUUACGUGAUCUGAGGUUUCAGACCG